CUGCUUAAUUGCGUUUCAAAAUCUAAACCUGAGCGACAAGGUGCUGCUAUCGAAACUGUCUUUGAGUGUGAACUAUAAGUCUUUUGACUUAUGACCAUCACUCUAGACGUUUAUGUUUUGGUGUUGGCCCUUGAUGCUCAUUUGAACGCAACGGACGUGAUUGCAACCCCUUGUUGAGAUUUAUCCGAUCUCUACGUUCACUGAACCACACUCUUUAGCGAGAGCAGUGGGGAUGUGGAUAAACUCGGGGGACUGCUGACUAUAAACUUUUCUCAAACCAGAGGAAGGUUGCGGCAAUAACAGGUCUGUGAUGCAA
rnacentral:rRNA from 1 species